CACACACCGCCCGUCACGCCACGAAAGUCAGUCUUACCCGAAGUCGGUGCGCUAACCGCAAGGAAGCAGCCGCCGAAGGUAGGGCCGAUGAUUGGGACG
rnacentral:rRNA from 1 species